rnacentral:lncRNA from 1 species
ACCAGCACCUAGCCGGGCGAUGGUGGCGCUCGCCUUUAAUCCCAGCACUUGGGAGGCAGAGACAGGUGAAUCUUUGAGUUAGAGGCCAGCCUGGUCUACAGAGUGAGCCCAGGACAGCCAAGAUUACACAGAGAAACCCUGUCUCAAACAUAGAAUUAAACGAAGUAAAAUAAAGUAAUAAAAACGUUUGAAUCAACGCUGGCUGCUGAGUCAUGUUGAGCCAGAGUGCCUUUUAUACCUUACUUGGGCUCUCACCCUGGCUGGUGGAGGUGCCUGCAGGAACCCCCACAAUGGCGACCAACAGGAGGGGCUCAAGUCUUGGAGAAGGUAAGAGAAUUAUUCUUUAAAUAGACUCAGGAGCGGUGUGUCCCCUCACCUAGGAGGUCACAAGUAAGUGGGGAGACAAAAUAAGCCUGGGUUCUUCCCAGUCCAGAGACAAAGCAUUUUCUACAAUUACUGAGCUGUUGGUUAAGAUCUAAAGGAGGGAAAUAGUUAAAGCAGCAGUCAGUCAAAUUCAGUCCUUGGUUUCCUGAACCAGAAACUAUUGGUGUUGAAAUUUGGAAAUGCAGCCAGGUGGUGGUGGUGAUGGUCUAUAGGGAAAGUGCCAGGCUACUCAGAGAAACACUUACUUGAAAACAAAACAAAACGAAAAGAAAAAAGAAAAAAAAAAAAAAGAAAGAAAGAAACUUGGAAAUGCAUAGGAGCCAGUGUCAAUCGGGCCUGUGAAAGCUGAGAUAAAAUUCGUGCCAAUUAUUUUGCAAGCUGGAGUCUGUAUUGUCGGCGUAUCAUCGCUCGCACCCUUGGGGUAUCAUCGCUCGCACCCGCGGGGUACCAUCGCUCGCCUCUCGGGCGGAUCAUUGAAAUGAGGCUUUUUUUUUCUCUGCAGGCCGCCUGGACUCCGAGGGAAUUCUGCCGGGGCUCCUGGAGGAUGCCCAGCCAGGAUUGUUCAGGGCUGUCAUUGUCUCAGUCUCUUUGCCUCAUUGUCUUAGUCACGUUGCUUCAUUGUUAUUGUCUCCGUCUGUCCAAUCGCGUACUCACAGCCUUAGCAAAAUAAGCAAUUUUAUCUUGUCUUUUACAUACAAAAAAAAAAAAUGGAGAUUUUCUUACUUCAAGCCUUUCAGGCAUCGAGAGACCUAACCCCACCCAGAUUCCUUUGUAUUUAUGGUUACUAAAACGUCAUGUCUUAAAUCUGUAUCUUUGGACAACAGAAAAAAUAGUUUUAAAUAGCAAUGUGAUCAAACUUAACAUGGAUUUUUAAAAAAAAAAAAGUAGGGACAAAUUGGAACCGAGAAAAAAAUAUUUCUCCUGGAUAAUAUGGUGGCCAAGGACUGAAAAGCUGAAGUAUAGUCAAUAGGAGUUAGAUUAUUUGAAAGUUUUCACAUAAAAUUAUUUUGGGUACAGUCUGAGAAUAUGUGGAAUGUAGUAAGAACUAGAACUUUCCAGAAAGUUCUUCUUCCGUGGAAAUGUUAUACUUUGAUGCUGUUCACAUGUUUGUUUUGCUUGCAGUAUCAGCCGGACAUGUUCCUUCAUGCUCUUGUGGGACAACCUAGUUGUUUCCCACUUCAGGAUGUUCUGUGAUGGUUCCUCAGAAAAGUAAAUGAAGUCCCAGAUGGCUACUGCUCUGUGACACUUUGGACAAGGACAGCAUCCCAGAGACCACCAGAUCAGCAAGGGGGUCUAAGCUAGAUUACAAGCCCAUCAAGAGGGGACGUCCCAAGAGGAGGAGGAAGCCAGUAUCUCGGGGAGACUUUAACUGGUCAAGCCAAGACCUUGGGGAAACAACAAGGACAUAAUUCUGCUGACCCCCAAAUGAUGGUGUUACGUUUACUGACUGUAUUACAUGUUGAUUCUCAGCCUGUCAGUGCAGAAUCCAAAUGCCUUAUGUCAGGGGGGAUAAAGGGCGCACCUGUAAUAGGACAAAGUAUGAAGUUGUCUUGCUGUGCUAAUAAUCAUUUUGAUCCUCUGGGACCGACCAGUUGUCUGGACAAAAGAUAGUAUACAAAUAUUUAGACACAAGAAUGGGUGGCAUUAUGGGUAGACUAACUGAGCAGUUCAAAUGUAAUAAUACAGGUUUUAGGGGUUGGGGAUUUAGCUCAGUGGUAGAGCGCUUGCCUAGGAAGCGCAAGGCCCUGGGUUCGGUCCCCAGCUCCGAAAAAAAGAACCAAAAAAAAAAAAUAAUACAGGUUUUAGCUGAAGGCAGUACUCUAGAAAGCUUUGAUGGUGAAAGGAAUAUGUGAUAUAUUGCUUACUAAACUUGAACUGACACCAGGUACUGAGUAGUGUGGAAUCGGACUGCCUUCUUGUCUCCUGUGAAUCAUUAGUCUGUUGGCCUUGGUGGAGGAAAUAUGCCCCUGAAGGAGGGCUUUGAGAGUUAAAAGCCUCGCCUGGCUUCCCGAUUAGUUCCUGCUCUAUACUUGAUCUUCAAGGUGUGAUUUCUCAGUUUCAUAUCCCUGCCACCAUGCCUGCUGUGUGCUCUCAUCCUUCCUGCCGUAAUGGACUCAUCUCUGUUCUGGAACCACGAGCCAAAAUAAACACUUGUCUUCC